rnacentral:lncRNA from 10 species
ACACCCGCGAACGCCCGCUCGCGAGUGCGUGCCAGACACGGUGGGCUGGUCUUCGCUGGAGGCCCUUUGUGGGUCCGUGAUGAUCGGAGGUGUUCUGUGCCUGUGUUUCUAUGUCAGUCUGAACGUUCGGGGUUGUGAGUACCUGUUGUACUCUACAUGUCUCUUGAGUAUUUGUGUCACUUGACUCUAGGUCUGUGUCUCUUCCUAUUCGUGGCGGGUAUCUGCCUGAGCAUGUUUGUAAAUAUGCUUGUGUCUGUGUAAUUCUGUGUGUCUGUGUUACUCUAUGCGUCUGAGUUUCAGUCUCUGUAUUUGUGACCAGGUCCUCCUGGGUGUGUCCAUUAAUUCAUGUGUCUGUUAGUUUGCGGCGGAACAGGUGUGUGUGUGUGUGUGUGUGUCUGUGAUCCUGGAUCUGUAUGCCAGUUCCUCACUGGGGGUUUCUGAGAACCUGCAUCUCUUUGCUUGUAUGUCUUUUUGUCUAUCUGUGUGUUCAUUUCUACCCUCUCUAGUGAGGACAGAAUUCCAAGACCCUACCAAGCCCUUCUUUUUUCUGAUGGGGGAACUGAAUUGCCAGGGAAUGGGGCCACAUCACAGCUAAAAGGAGACAAGAGGAGACAGAAGCUCGUUGAUAUACAAAGUUUUAUGUGACCUGAGCCCCUCUGGAGGCACCAGAGUCCACACUCUGUACUCAGAAGGUGAGGGAUUGGCUCACGGGGGCAACAUGGCCCGAAAGGUGGGAGAUCGUCCAUCCCCUGCGGGAAAGGAGGCAUCCCUAAUGCAUUGCACAGGCUUGAAGGGGGCACACCCCCACAGUUGGGGAGGAGGAAGCAAUGAUAGCUAAGAAGGAGAGGGGCACCCCAAAGAAUACUACAGUAUAGGGUUAGAACCUUGAAAUUGCACCUAAUAGUCUAGACCUGUGGACCUUUAGAAUCUUAGAAACUUAGAACAUUUGAGUCUUAGAACUACAGUGCCUAGAACUAUAAGAUUUUAGAAAUGUGGAUUCUUGGACUCUUAACCAUGGUCCUAGAGAGGCAGAAUGCAGCAAAGAACCUAAAGGUGUCCAACAUUAGAAAUUAUUAGAACUUUGGUGUCUAGUUAGUCACAACUGAGUGUGAGAGUCUUAUAACUUAGAUGCUUAGGAUCCGGAAUCUUGGACCAAUGGAAUCUAGAGUGCCUUGAAACAGAACAGACCGUUAGAAUCUUAUUUAAUCAUCUAGAAUCUUGGAGCAUCUGAUCUAGAAUCUUAGACACAGAGAAUCUAAGAUCUUAGAGUAAGUCUUAGAAUAUCACAUCUUAGAACACCGGACCUUAGAAACUCCAUCUUUAGACUCUUGGAACUUUUGAAUUGCAGAUUCUAGAGCUUUCGACCCUUAGGAUCUAGGAUCUUAUACAAGAGAAUCUAUUAUCAUAAAGCCUCAGAAACUAUAAUUGAUCAUCAUUAGAAUCUUAGAACUUGAGAAGAUAACAUUUUGAAGCCUUAUGAUCUAGAGCCUUACAGCCAGAGAAUCUAGACUCUCAGAGCCUUAGAACAUCACAUUUUAGAAUCCUAGGCCUUAGAACCUCCAUGUCUAGAACUAUAGAAUCUUUAGAAUCUAUAAUCUUACAUUUUAAGGACUCUGAACUCUAGAAGAAUAAACAUCUAGACUCAUAGAGCCUUAGCUCCUAAAAUCAGAAUCUUAGAACUUUAGAACCUAAAACCUUGAGGCUUUAUCAAAAAUGUUAGAACCAGAAAAUCUAAAACCACAUAAUGUCAGAGCUUUAGAACAGUAGGUCUUAAGGUUGAGUGCAGUGGCUCAUGCCUGUAAUCUCAGCACUUUGGGAGGCUGAGGUGGGCAGAUCACUUGAGGUCAGGAGUUUUAGACCAGCCUGGCCAACAUGGUGAAACCCUGUCUCUACUAAAAAUAUAAAAAUUAGCCGGGUGUGGUGGCACACACCUGUAAUCCCAGCUACUUGGGAGGCCAAGGCAGGAAAA